rnacentral:lncRNA from 10 species
GAGUUGUGUAACAUUUUGUUACACAGCAGUACACACACGAAAAUGUUUGUAUGGCCCAGCAGGGUAGAGGGAUGGGCUGUUUGGGGCCAGAGAUGAAUGGCUUGGGGACUCUAACAGCACAGGGCCCCACCUGUCUGAUCAGAGGGUUGAAGAAAUAAAUUAAGCACAUUAAUAAAGAAUGUGUUCAUUUGUUGGGAAGCUCUUCAGUAAGGAGUGUAUUUUUCUCAAAUAAUAAGAUGUUCAGAGGAGAUAAUCCAGGGGCUAUUGCAGCCUAGGGACACCAUUGAGGGCAUAGGCUUUCCAGGUGUUUCUA